rnacentral:rRNA from 1 species
GACGAACGCUGGCGGCGUGCUUAACACAUGCAAGUGGAGCGACGAACCGGGCUUCGGCCCGGGGCAAAGCCGCGAACGGGUGAGUAUCACGUGGGUAACCUGCCCCGAUGACCGGGAUAACCCGAGGAAACUCGAGCUAAUACCGGAUGUGCUCCCAAUCCAUCAGGGUUGGAAGUAAAGGAAGCUUCGGCCUCCGCAUUGGGAUGGGCCCGCGGCCCAUUGGCUUGUUGGUGAGGUAACGGCUCACCAAGGCCACGAUGGGUAGCUGGUCUGGGAGGACGAUCAGCCACACUGGGACUGAGACACGGCCCAGACUCCUACGGGAGGCAGCAGUGGGGAAUCUUGCGCAAUGCGCGAAAGCGUGACGCAGCAACGCCGCGUGAGGGAAGAAGGCCUUCGGGUUGUAAACCUCUUUCAGGAGGGACGAAGGUUCAGGCGCGGAUAGCGUCCUGGACUGACGGUACCUCCAGAAGAAGCCCCGGCUAACUACGUGCCAGCCGCCGCCGUAA